rnacentral:rRNA from 1 species
GACGAACGCUGGCGGCGUGCUUAACACAUGCAAGUCGAACGGAAAGGCCUGCUUUCCCUUGUGGAUUGCGGGUACUCGAGUGGCGAACGGGUGAGUAACACGUGAGUGAUCUGCCCCCAACUUGGGUAUAAGCCUGGGAAACUGGGUCUAAUUCCCGAUAGGACUGCAGGGUGGUGCCUGUGGUGGAAAACGAUUUUCUAGUGGUUGGGGAUGAGCUCGCGGCCUAUCAGCUUGUUGGUGGGGUAAUGGCCUACCAAGGCGGCGACGGGUAGCCGGCCUGGGAGUGUGGACGGCCGCAUUGGGACUGCGAUACGGCCCCGACUCCUACGGGAGGCAGCAGUGGGGACUAUUGCGCGCUGAGCGGAAGCCUGAUGCAGCGACGCCGCGUGGGGGAUGACGGCCUUCGGGUGGUAAACUCCUUUCGACCGCGAGGAAGCCACCUGGUUGGAAGGGUGGUGACGGUAGUGGUAGAAGAAGCACCGGCUAACUACGUG